rnacentral:rRNA from 1 species
UUACCUUGUUACGACUUCACCCCCCUCACCAAGCACACCUUAGGUACCCCUCUCCUUGCGGUUAAGGUAAUAACUUCGGGUGUCCUCAACUCGGGUGGUGUGACGGGCGGUGUGUACAAGGCCCGGGAACGUAUUCACCGCAGCGUGCUGAUCUGCGAUUACUAGCGAUUCCAACUUCAUGGAGUCGAGUUGCAGACUCCAAUCUGAACUACGGACUGUUUUUUGGGAUUGGCUCCACCUCGCGGUAUUGCUACCCUUUGUACAGCCCAUUGUAGCACGUGUGUAGCCCAGGACAUAAGGGCCAUGAGGACUUGACGUCAUCCCCACCUUCCUCCGGUUUGUCACCGGCCAGUUCCGCUAAAGUGCCCUGGCUUUACCCAGAUGGCAACUAGCAGUAAGGGUUGCGCUCGUUGCGGGACUUAACCCAACAUCUCACAACACGAGCUGACGACAGCCAUGCAGCACCUGUCUAUCUGUCCUAAAAGGAACGGGAUAUCUCUACCCCUGUCAGAUAGAUGUCAAGCCCUGGUAAGGUUCUUCGCGUAUCAUCGAAUUAGCCACUUGCUCCCCCGCUUGUGCGGGCCCCCGUCAAUUCCUUUGAGUUUCCCCUUGCGGGCAUACUCCCCAGGCGGUUCACUUUACGC